GUUGAUUAACUAAUAAUUGGUGUGAUUUUCGCUUAAUAGGGAAUGAAGUUAAAGUCUUCAACUACCUCAGUAACCGUGAAGCAGACAAAAUCUCAAUAUGUCACUGCAUUUUUUGUGUGGGAAGACGAGAUGGAGGAAGAAGCAAAGUCGGGAUACCUGCCUUUUAUUUAAGUACUAU
rnacentral:ncRNA from 2 species